AUGCAUGCAGGCAUAUUUCAGAGAGCCCAUGUCUUGUUAGGUUUGCUUCUUGUGUUUUCGAUUGGUUUACUUUUUUGCAUAGGGAGGGAGAAGGAAUUAAGAGAUAAAGAGAAGGCCCAACACAUCUAUUUGCAUGUCAAAUCUGAAGUGGAGAGUUGUAUCAAGUAUCUGAAGAGGAGAGGGGAGGAUCCCUAUAGGAGUACACUGUCCAGUCUUCUAUAUCAGGCAGCUCAUGGUUCUGAUGCAGAAAUACCCACAUUUGAACCCUGA
rnacentral:rRNA from 1 species